CGGCAGUCCACUCCACUUUUUUGGACUGCCGGACAUGAAAGAAAGGAGGAAAGGCCCUGCUCGGGCUGCGGCAGUGUGGAGACCUGCCGUAAGGCACGAGGCAAUAGCCCGUGCGAGGACGUUCCAUGCGGAGGCAGAACGUCCGGAGUAAAUAAACAUGGC
rnacentral:ncRNA from 1 species